rnacentral:rRNA from 1 species
UACGUAGGGGGCAAGCGUUGUCCGGAUUUAUUGGGUUUAAAGGGUGCGUAGGCGGCCCCGUAAGUCAGUGCUGAAAUAUCCCGGCUUAACCGGGAGGGUGGCAUUGAUACUGCAGGGCUUGAGUAAAGUUGAGGUAGGCGGAAUUGACGGUGUAGCGGUGAAAUGCUUAGAUAUCGUCAAGAACACCGAUAGUGUAGACAGCUUACUAAGCUUUAACUGACGCUGAGGCACGAAAGUGUGGGGAUCAAACAGG